rnacentral:rRNA from 1 species
UACGAGGGGGGCAAAUGUUGUUCGGAAUCACUGGGCGUAAAGGGAGCGUAGGCGGGUUUAUAAGUCAGGUGUUUAAUCCCGGGGCCCAACCCCGGACAGGCACUUGAAACUGGGAAUCUUGAAUAGUGGAGAGGUCAGUGGAAUUGGGGGUGUAGCGGUGGAAUGCGUAGAGAUCCGCAAGAACACCAGUUGCGAAGGCGGCUGACUGGACAGAUAUUGACGCUGAGGCUCGAAAGCAUGGGGAGCAAACAGG